GCUCGAUGUACCAUUCUGAAGACAAGUUUUAUUUAUUCUUGUUGAUUGAUGGGUUGGGUUUUCGAAAACUGUCCUUAUAAAAGACAGCAGCGCCGUGUAUUUUUGUGGAUACCUGCUUUUGUUUGGUCCGAUACGGAAGCAGCAUGAAGCUUUGUGUUCCAACCGCCUUGGUGUUUUUAUGCCUAUUGCAGUCUGCUUUAUGUCAGUUGUCUGCCAUUACCGGACAACAACUUGGCUUAUUUCUGCUGGGAACAGGACUUGGCGCAGCAGCAUUUGGCGGUAGAAGAGGGGGUGGAUAUAUUCCUCCACCGUUCUUUCCACCGUACAUUCCACCUCCGUUCAUUGGACCAUAUCCGCCACCACCACAUUUCUUCAGGUCUCCACCAUUUUAUGGAUAACCUUAAAUGGCUGGUGCAAAAUAAAGGACACAUGUGCUAUAGUCAAACGGAAUCAUUUGAACCUUGACCAUAAUUCCAAAGAAUUUAAUAGAAGUUGAAGUAUCUUACAUAUAUUAUAUAUAGAAAAUAAAAAAAAAACGUGUUAGCAAAUCGCUA